rnacentral:rRNA from 1 species
GACGGGGGGGGCAAGUGUUCUUCGGAAUGACUGGGCGUAAAGAGCUCGUAGGCGGUUUGUCGCGUCUGCUGUGAAAACCUAAGGCUCAACCUUGGGCUUGCAGUGGGUACGGGCAGACUAGAGUGCGGUAGGGGUGACUGGAAUUCCUGGUGUAGCGGUGGAAUGCGCAGAUAUCAGGAGGAACACCGAUGGCGAAGGCAGGUCACUGGGCCGCAACUGACGCUGAGGAGCGAAAGCAUGGGGAGCGAACAGG